CCUACGGGAGGCUGCAGUGAGGAAUAUUGGUCAAUGGUCGGGAGACUGAACCAGCCAAGCCGCGUGAGGGAUGAAGGUCCAGAGUAUCGUAAACCUCUUUUGUCAGGGAACAAAGGCGGGGACGUGUCCCCGGCUGAGUGUACCUGAAGAACAAGCAUCGGCUAACUCCGUGCCAGCAGCCGCGGUAAUACGGAGGAUGCGAGCGUUAUCCGGUUUUAUUGGGUUUAAAGGGUGCGCAGGCGGUCUGUUAAGAGCGCGGUCAAAGCCCGGGGCUCAACCCGGGCCCGCCGUUGAAACUGGCAGGCUCGAGUGGGAGAGAAGUAGGCGGAAUGCGCGGUGUAGCGGUGAAAUGCAUAGAUAUCGCGCAGAACUCCGAUUGCGAAGGCAGCAUGCCGGCUCCACACUGACGCUGAGGCACGAAAGCGUGGGUAUCGAACAGGAUUAGAUACCCGAGUAGUC
rnacentral:rRNA from 1 species